rnacentral:rRNA from 1 species
AUCUACGGCCAUACCACCCUGAACACGCCGGAGCUCGUCUUAUCUCGCAAGCUAAGCUGGGUUGGGCCUGGUUAGUGCUUGGAUGGGAGACAAAUGCCACCAAAUGAGCCUAAAUU